rnacentral:lncRNA from 1 species
GAAGAGGCACGCUGCGAGACUAGGUUUUCUUUAUGGUUGCAAGAAUGAAGAAGUAGCUUACUCGACAAGCAAAGAGAAUGAGGUAAUAAUAUAAACUAACAUUGCCUGUAUUGAUAACUGGCCCCCACAAAGUAACGUAAAUCCAUAAAGCGGUUCUCCAAUCUUUCCAUGAGUGCCACAUUAAUUUCUCCACGAGUGCCACAUUAAUCUCUCCAUGCAAAUUAUAUCUUCAUCUUUAGAGGUGUGGGUUCAUUAGUGAUAGAAAUACAUAAUUUCAUUCCAUAGAUUCAAAUACAUAAUUUCAUUUGAAAUACAUACAAGCCAUUGCAUUUAAAGAAGCGAUACAUUGUACUGAGAUAAAAUGUACCCAUGAAUACAAUAGUUAAAUAGUAGUUAUAUAGGAAACAUUAGUUAAACAAGAUGAUCCGGUGAACAUGAACAGACAGAUGCAGUUGUUACUCGGGAAGGUCCUUUCUGCAAAACAUCAAUACACCGGAACUUUGGCAACCACUUCCACUCCCUCAUCAUUACUCUAUCUUGGAAUUGCAAUCUCUGCCUCGUCCAUAACUUCCCCCUUCUCUAUCUAUUACGAGUCCUCCAUUAUUCUCCAUCUACCUUCUUCUUUGGCUGUCUAAUCAAUCUCUCCUCAAACAUGAGUCC